rnacentral:rRNA from 1 species
AGCGAACGCUGGCGGCAGGCCUAACACAUGCAAGUCGAACGAACCUUUCGGGGUUAGUGGCGGACGGGUGAGUAACACGUGGGAACGUGCCUUUAGGUUCGGAAUAACUCAGGGAAACUUGUGCUAAUACCGAAUGUGCCCUUCGGUGGAAAGAUUUAUCGCCUUUAGAGCGGCCCGCGUCUGAUUAGCUAGUUGGUUGAGUUAAUGGCUCACCAAGGCGACGAUCAGUAGCUGGUCUGAGAGGAUGAUCAGCCACAUUGGGACUGAGACACGGCCCAAACUCUUACGGGAGGCAGCAGUGGGGAAUCUUGCGAAAUGGGCGAAAGCAUGACGCAGCCAUGACGCGUGAAUGAUGAAGGUCUUAGGAUUGUAAAAUUCUUUCACCGGGGACGAUAAUGACGGUACCCGGAGAAGAAGCCCCGGCUAACUUCGUG